UGUGGAUGCAAGAAUCCCUUCCUCUCUGCUCCCCCGUGGGUGGAGCCCGCUGUGUUCCCAGGCUGAAGCGGAGUCCAGCCCUGCAUAGCUGAGUGGCUCUGAGAUGCCCAUCCUCACUGAGUCUAAGGGAUGUAACUCUCAGCUGUGUGACAGGGACAUGAUGUGUCCACAACCCUCCCAGUAAUAGCAUCCUACAUGCCACCAGCAUGUGAGCAAGGUUGCACGAGACGGGGCUGCAGCCCCCUGGGAGUGAGGACCACAACGAGUGCCUACCUGAGGCCUCCAGAUCGAGUCUGGCAUUGUUGAAAGGAAGUCGGAUAGAUCCGUGGGGGUGGAUUUUGAGAGAGGAAGACCUGCCUGACACAUAGAAACAGCACAGCGUGAUACGCAAAGGCAGCCUUGCCUUUCAUCCCUUCCUCAAAUCACUGCUGAGCACCUUCUUGGAAUAUUACAGUGAGGAAGACAAGCAGUAAAUGGAAAGCCGCAUUGCAGCCGCUACCGAGAGUAAUGGAUUUCAGAGUCAGCCUGGCAACAUCGCCAGUAGUCAAUUAUUGCUCUUAAUAAAGGAGUGGGAUUGAGGAAGACAAGAUCCCUAGUUACUGUUUACUUAGCACUUAAUAAAUGUCAGAUGCAGAACUAAGCUCCUCCUUUGCUUCAUGUCGUUUAUCCCUUCUGACAGCCCUGUGAGGUAGAAAUAUUUUAAUUUCUGAUUUUUAGAUGAAGAAACUGAGGCUCCGAGGGGUUCAAUAACCUGAUGACAAUCACCCGCUAGGAAGCGGUGAAGAUGCUGGCACCUGUAUCUGUAACCAUUCGCAUAGAACAGCCACCUGUAGGGCGGGGGUGGUGCUGGUGAUUUUUAGCCAAGGAUGAUUAUUUUUCUUUUCUCAAAAAUGGACAUCCUGUGCACGGCACAGCCACCGACUUCAGAAAGUGUGGCAUUAGCUUUUGCAGCACAAGGCAAAAAAUUUAAAUCAGAUUAGGAAGCACAGUUGCUAUGGUACCAGGAAAGUACACUUUCAUGCAAAGCAAUUUAAUAGAUGUGAAAAUGUGCACCUUCUAAAGGAACACUGUAUUUUAGAGAUAAAGCCCCUCCAGCAGCAGCAGUGGACUGACAGGCCCCUCGUCGGAGGCGCAUCGUCGCCCACCAUCUCUCCCUGCCUCCUGCCAGGGGAGGGCCUGAGUACCGAUUUGAAGGCCUUCUCAGGGCAAGCUCAGCCUGCUCCCCAAAGGGAAGGAAGAAUGCAAGCCCUACGGCCUGUCUGCACUGUGUCCUUCAUCUGGGUCUCAACCCAGCUAGGUAGCUCCCCCACAUCAGGGCACAAACUCCCUGUGGCCCUGUUCCUCUCAGCUCUGCCUCCCCAGCUGCUCCAGGGCCCAUGGAAAGGGCCACCCAUUCUCCAUUCCCUGCUGUCUCCUGGAGGCCUGGGGAUGCAGGCUCGCCAAGCAUUCGGGACCCCCACUGAGUGCCAGGGAGGAUUCCAUUUGUGCCUGGCGUUGGCUACAUUCUGUGAGACUUUGGAAAGUUUGCUUUUAACCUAAGCCUCAGUUUCUUCAUCUGUAAAAUUGAUCCUCAUCUAUAAAAUGAACAUACCUUUAAGAUGAUUUAAACACAGCCCCUGGUAUGCAUGAAGGACUCUGGAAAAGUUAGCAGUCAGGUCAGGUCAGUCUAGCGCUUGGCAUGCUUGCUGAGUAAAUAGGGCUCAGACCUCCUCUCUUCUCUACCCAUCAGCCUCACUUUGCCCCCACCUCACCAGCUCCUUCAUUACUCCACACACACACACACCUGUAACAAGCCCCACCUUGAGACCUUCUUCUAGUUGGUCCUCUGCCCUGAACGUCCUUCUGCAGUGUCCACACAAUCCUCUCCCUCUCCUUCUUCCCCCUCGCUCAGUUGUCAUCUUCCAAAAGAGGCCUCGCCCACCCCACAAAACAAUUUCAACCCACUCCCCCAGCACUCAUCACACUCUGUGCCCUGCCUCGUCCUGUGGAGUCAGUGAUGGUUUAUCUUGUCUGCUGCCUACUGUUGGGCUCUCCACAUGGGAUCAGAAGCCUAAGACACAGGCAUCUUUGUUUAGUUCAGUGAUGUAUCAGCGCCCAGUACAAAGCAGACACUAAAGAAAUAUUCGAAUGAAUGUUUAGCAUUUUUAAUAUACCACCCUCUCCAUUAUUCCAAAUGUGAGUCUUGUUGGAAAUUGUCUCAUGUAGGGAGAAAACACAUCCAAUACCCUCUCACCUUCAUGAGGUGGCCUCCCCUCUCCACCCCAAAACUUCCUACCCCCUGUCCUGCUUGGACACAUAGGAUUCCUGUGCACUGUGUAUUUUACUUAUUCAUUUGGCUUCUUAUUGUCAACUCCCAUGAAACUAUGAGUUCCAAAAGGAUAGGAAUUUGUGUCAGGUUCACCUUAGUUCAUUUUUUCACAGUUCAAGGGGCUGGGAAGGCCAAGAUCAUGGUGCUGGCAAAUAUGGUGUCUGGUGAGGGCUGCUUCCUGGUUCAUAGACAACCAUUCUCUUGCUGUGUCCUCACGUGGUGGAAGGAGUGAGGGAACUCUCUUGGGUCUCAUUUACAAGGCUCCACCCUCAUGACCUAAUCACCUCCCAAAGUGCCCAUCUCCGAAAACCAUCCCAUGGGGGGUUAGUAUUUCAACAUAGGAAUUUUGUGGGAACAUAAACAUUCAGACCAUAGUAGGCUUGUUUAUUUUACCUUAAACACUUGGAACAGGGCCUAAAACAUACUAGGAGCACAAUAAAUAUUCACCAAAGAAAUGAGAGAAUAACUGAAUGAAUGAGUUAACCUGGGGCACGGUCCCCAUGGUAGGAACGACCUCGGGGGUGCAGAGUUCAGAGAAAGUGAGUUCUUGGGGAGCUGAGCUUCAAACUCAAGUUCCACCCCUUUCUCACCAACUGGCCCAUGUAUGGGCAAGUGACUUCACUUAUCUGACCCUCAGUAUUCUCGUCUGACAAGUGGGUAUAAUAAGAGUUCCUACCUCAUGGGGUUGUUUUAUGAGUUAUAUAAGUUACCGUGUGUCAAUUACAUAGUGUAGUGCUAGCUCAUCAUAACUAAUUAACUAACUAUUAAUUGUAGUUUCUAUUUUCUUAUCUCCCCAGAAAGCAGGACAACCUGAAAAAGCUGAAGCUAAAGCUGGCCUUUACAAGGUUUUCUGGAACCACAAUCUGUGUCUUAUUUUUGGGUGUCCUGGUUGUCUAAUCUAUGCAUGCCAACAGAACAGACUGAACUGUAUGCAUGGAGUCAAACCCACAGACGUGCAGGGUUGCCAACUGAACAGGCCAUUUAUUGCAAGACCACAGGUAAGAACAAUUUGGAGGCCAAGAGAGAAGUCACAACACGAUGAGCUCAGCCAAGAGAAGGCAGUAAAGGAGUCAAAAGAAGGUGUUUGUGGCUCCCAAGACUAUUGCUCCAAAAGGAAGCUCACCUGGGCACACCUUUGUCAGCCCCUCCUUUUCUUCUUUCCUGGGGAGUUUGAGUAAGCUCUUUCCUCCACUGGGAAUGUUAUCUCCUCUUUUCUUCAUUUGGUUCAUGGCUACUGAUUUUUCAAAUCUCAGCUCAAUUGCCACUUCCUCCAGGAAGCUCUCCCUGACCCCCUAACUUCCUCGAGCCCUGUUCCUGUCCUCAGGGCUCCACACCCCUCUACUUGGUAGCUCUUGUCACAGUCACUAUGUUUUUGUGCAUCUCAGAUUCAUGUCUUUCUCUCUCAUCUAGAUUGUCUGCUCCAUGAGGGCAGGAUUAGGGUCUGUUUUUCUUCCUCAUUUUAUCUGCAUCUGUUUGCAGAGUUGAGGAUGUAACAGGCAGCUAUGACUACUUGUUUAAUAAAUGCAUGGGUGCAUGAACACAAGGAAGAGGUGAGCUGUGGAUGGAUUACAAAGUGUCCCUGCUAAUCUGUGACGUUAAUGGGUGUGAAGGACAUUAAUUCUUGCCAGGGUCAGUCUGAGUUGUGACUAACAGCAUGGAGGAAUGCGCUCGCUCCAAGUAGGCACAGCAGGGUGUGGCAGGGUCUUGGGAGAGAGUUUCUUCUGAGCACUUCCCACAGGCCACAGGAAUGGCCUUUGUUAUUUUUGCUCAGUUUCUGUCCCUCAUGUCCUUUCCACAAGCCUUGCCCAAUAGUCAGGCCAGCACCUCUCUGGCCACAAGCUCCUAAAACAUUUGAGAGCUGAUGGAGACCACCUUGGGAAAAGCAAGCUUCUCCGGGAGCACUGGGAAUGGCAGGCUCCUCUUUGUCCUGCGCUGAUGAGAUGGGCAUGCCAACUCCUCCCACUGUUCUGGGGAAGCUGGCAUCCAAUGACGCCAACAAGUUGGACAGAAUUCAGAAGAAACAACGGCCACAGACGUUCUCGUGAGUUCUGGCUGUCACUAUGUGAAACGUCACAACUCCAGCCGAAGACAAGAAAACAUAGUUAAAAUUGAGCCCUUCUCCCUCCGUAAAUUGGAUAUGUUUAAUUUUACUUUGGUAAGUGAGAGCCUGUGUUAGAAGAGCUUGAGGAAGCCAGGUGCCAGGUGGCAGGUGCCAGUUGGCACCCAUGCUCCCCGAUGUUUGCUCACCUACAGACAGGACAAUUGCUUGGGCUCUUCUUCCAGAACUCAGGAACCUGGUCCCCACCUAUUACAGCCUCUGUUGUGGACCAGAUCUCUGAUUGCAUUUACCGCUAAGGCAUGUGAAACCUUAGAGGAAACACACCUUUGAAGGAUUCAGCUCCAAAUAUGCUUGACAUAGAGGCAGGUGAGUAAUAAACAAUAAGAACAAGUAUCUUUUGAACACUUACUCUGGGUCAAGCAGUUGAUAUUUAUUAUUCCACUUGCUAUUACAGCAAUGCAGAGAGGUAUUUUCUAUGAUGUCCCCCCAUUUUAUAGACAAGGAAACCAAGUUUCAGGGGAAUGCCAUUUCAAGGACACACAUCUCUGACUUUCCUCCAGGAAGCUCUCCCUGACCCUCCUGACUUCCUCGAGUCCUGUUCUUGUCCUCAGGGCUCCACACCCCUCCCCUUGGUAGCUCUUGUCACAGUCACUAUGUUUGCAUGCAUCUCAGAUUCAUGUCUUUCUUUCUCAUCUAGAUUGUCUGCUCCAUGAGGACAGGAUUCAGGUCUGGAUUUCAAUGUCCCUAUGGUAAUAGGGAUGCUGUAUAAUUUCAGAGUCCUAGCGGGUUUCCAGAUUGAAGAACACAGAGCUAUUACCUAGUGAGAACAGAAGGCAGCUCCAGGAAGGCCUGUCAUCAGGGCAAACCACAGAGGAGCGAAGGCACAGGCUUGUUGGGGAAUGGAGCUGAGUUGCCCUGGGUCCAGGGAAUGAGAAGCAAAGCUAUGGUAACAGCCUUUCUAGCCAUGUCAGACCUGCCUCUUCUAUACCCCACUGCUGUGGCACAGAUGACCUUCAUUCUCAGCUCUUGUUGCUGUUGGAAUUGUGCUUUGGUUUAAAUGAUUGAUCUGUUUCUGCCAGAGUCAGAUGGAUGGAUGGAUGGAUGGAUGGAAGAAUGGAUGGAUGGAUGGAUGGACAGUCAGACCGACAGCAAGAGUAGGGGCAGUAUAUGGAGGAUCUUGAAGGGCGUCUUAAGGAAAGAGGACUUUGGGAGUCAGUGGGGGAGUCAUUCCAGGAUUUGGGAUUGGGUUGUGAUACAUGUUGGGAUUGGAAGACCAGUUGGGAAUUGAAGAUGGCAGAAAUUAAGCUUUAGCAUUAUUGGAAAUGAAAUUGGUAGUUUUGUAUUUCUUUGUGCAAGUCUUCAAAUGUUUCCAAGCCUAAUAAUUCUCAUCCUGUCCUCAUUAUUCGCUCAAUCUCCAAUUCUUGCCAAGCCUGUCUCCCAAGUAUCCCUUGAAAGGCAUUAUUCCUCCCCUCCCCGAGGUGUCCAGGUCACUGAGACACCUCCCAACCUGCCUCUCCUGUGUACUCGCACCCCCUUUUCCCCUCUGACGGGAAUUCUGCCAGGCAGCCAGUACGACCUUCCUGAGAUGCAGACGUCCAUGUGACUCCCACGCAUCUCUGAACUUUAGCUGUCAGCUGGAGUUUCUUCCUAAGGGAGGUCCCUCAGGACUCUUGUAUGUGUUCUUACAGCACUGACGUUUCCCCUGAUAAAUGUCAUCACACGCUGUUGCGAUCAAGUUAAAAUUGUUUGUUUCCCCUGCUCUUAAGUCCUUGAGGUCUGGCCACCGCUGUGUCCCCUGGCAAUAUGCCCAGCUCUUAUGGGAAAUUGAGGAACAGGUGUUGAAUGAAUGCAUGUUGCAGAAAGAGGUGCCAUGCCCCCAUGGAGUGAUUAGGCUGCUUAAUAAAGGGACUAAGCCUGGCUGCUGGAUCUGAGGUUCUGGGUUCAAACCUCGGAUUCUCAACCCAUUAGCUGUGUGACCUAGGGGAAGUUCUUCAGCUUACUGAAUUUCCGUUUUCUCUUUAUUCAAGGGGGUCCUAAUAACAGCGCUGAUUUCAGAGGGCUGAAGUGAGGAAGAGAGAACGCGAAGUACUAUCUGGCACACAGAAACUUCUCAAUAAACAUCAGCUGCUAUUGUCAAUUCAGGGGAAGCGGGACACGAAAGGGAAAUGGCGUGUGAUUCAGAUCAAAGCUGGAGUUACCAGCUAUGCUUUACGUUUUCUGAAAUUAAUUUACGCGUGAAAUUGUAUUUUCUGAGUGAAUACACAUGUAGUGUGUGGUGAUGUUUGGUCUAUCCAGUGUGCCAUUUAUUUUAUGUUUGUGCCUUUAAUCAAGAUUAGAAAAUAAUCUACGUGAAAAACUGUUGUAAAAGAAAUGAGUUUCUGGUAAAAUCUUCCUGCUCCCACUUGGUGGGGAGUGAGAUUAGCCUGUGGAUUUUGGGAGUGUUUGCAGGACCGCAUUUGGUAAAACGAUUUGUGGGCUUCUGUGUGUGUAUUGGAUAACUAAGAGUGGGAACCACGGGGAGGCAUAGGCUUGUAGAUUUAACUACUGUGAAGCGGUGUAAUUUUGGGCAAAUGUCUUAGUCCCUCUGGGCCUCAGUUCUUCAUGUGUCAAAUGGGAAUACCGAUUGGAUUUGUCUCAGAGCACCAUUGCAGGAUUAGAUGCCAAAAAAAAAAAAAAAAAAAAGUAAAGUAUUUCCAACAUCCUGUGGCACAGAGUUCUAAGCCACUGUUUCUAAGCUCAGAAACAGUUUUUAUUGUUUUCAUUUCUGUUUGUUACUUAAAAGGCUUCUGAUUUAUUCAAGGCUAAAAACAUCUUCUGCAUCUGCCUAAGAAUUCAGGGCUCUAGGUGGGUCUGGUAGGCUCUCUGCCCUCCCCAUGGCCCACCGGGAAAUAUUAUAUUUAAGAAAAUUCAGGGUUCUAGGGUCAAAGAAAGCUUCUUAAUUCAAUUCCCAUUCAUCAGCUGUCAUUUCUACUGUUUGCAGGUCAGUUCCAUCAAGUAUGUUGGGAAGUAAAUUUAGAGAUCUACCUAUAAUUAUCUUUUUUGUGAAGCACUGUUUUUGACACUAGCUAGAGGUUGAAUUUUAUUACUUCCUUAAAAAAAAUAGUAAGCCAGGUAUUCUCUGGCAAAAGGAAGAAGAACAGCAGGAAAAACAGUUGGAAAGAGAAUCAGGAUUUCUAUUUUUUAAAAAGAGCCCGCAUUGCCAAGUCAAUCCUAAGCCAAAAGAACAAAGCUGGAGGCAUCACGCUACCCGACUUCAAACUAUACUACAAGGCUACAGUAACCAAAAAAGCAUGGUACUGGUACCAAAACAGAGAUAUAGACCAAUGGAACAGAACAGAGCCCUCAGAAAUAAUGCCGCAUAUCUGCAACUAUCUGAUCUUUGACAAACCUGACAGAAACAAGCAAUGGGGAAAGGAUUCCCUAUUUAAUAAAUGGUGCUGGGAAAACUGGCUAGCCAUAUAUAGAAAGCUGAAACUGGAUUCCUUCUUUACACCUUACACAAAAAUUAAUUCAAGAUGGAUUAAAGACUUAAAUGUUAGACCUAAAACCAUAAAAACCCUAGAAGAAAACCUAGGCAAUACCAUUCAGGACAUAGGAAUGGGCAAGUGCUUCAUGUCUAAAACACCAAAAGCAAUGGCAA
rnacentral:lncRNA from 10 species